UUGUAUUUUUACAAUGCCAAAGCUAGCAAAUAGUACAAGAUUCACCCAACAAGGGGCUAAUUACAUAGAGCAGCUGCACUAAUACAACGGUCAGAUCGGUAACUAGUAGCUAGUAGCCGUGGUUACCAACACACAUACACAUAUAUUUAUAAAAAGGUAAUGUACAAGUUCAUGUACAGUAACGCUACAAGUUCAAAAAGAAACCUGAGAUAAUCCUCACAUAUUAGUUUUUCUGUAAAAAAAGAAAAACCGAUUAGACAUACGGUCAAUGAGUAGUUUUCGUUCAAACUUGGCCACCUAAAUCCAUCAGCAAUUGAGCCAACCCACCUAAAUCCAGCAGCAAUUGAGCCAACCGGGAAGGAGCCACCAUUGAAGUACUUGGGGGAUGAAGAAACAGAAUCAUCUGGAUUCCAUGUGUAAAUC
rnacentral:lncRNA from 1 species